rnacentral:rRNA from 1 species
UACGUAGGGUGCGAGCGGUAAUCGGCGUUACUGGGCGUAAAGCGUACGCCGGCGGCUGCGCAAGACAGAUGUGAAAUCCCCGGGCCUAACCUGGGAACUGCAUUUGUGACUGCGCAGCUCGAGUCCGUCAGAGGGGGGUGGAAUUCCACGUGUAGCAGUGAAAUGCGUAGAGAUGUGGAGGAACACCGAUGGCGAAGGCAGCCCCCUGGGAUGAGACUGACGCUCAGGUACGAAAGCGUGGGGAGCAAACAGG